rnacentral:rRNA from 1 species
GACGAACGCUGGCGGCGUGCUUAACACAUGCAAGUCGAACGGAAAGGCCCUGCUUUUGUGGGGUGCUCGAGUGGCGAACGGGUGAGUAACACGUGAGUAACCUGCCCUUGACUUUGGGAUAACUUCAGGAAACUGGGGCUAAUACCGGAUAGGAGCUCCUGCUGCAUGGUGGGGGUUGGAAAGUUUCGGCGGUUGGGGAUGGACUCGCGGCUUAUCAGCUUGUUGGUGGGGUAGUGGCUUACCAAGGCUUUGACGGGUAGCCGGCCUGAGAGGGUGACCGGCCACAUUGGGACUGAGAUACGGCCCAGACUCCUACGGGAGGCAGCAGUGGGGAAUAUUGCACAAAGGGCGGAAGCCUGAUGCAGCAACGCCGCGUGCGGGAUGACGGCCUUCGGGUUGUAAACCGCUUUCGCCUGUGACGAAGCGUGAGUGACGGUAAUGGGUAAAGAAGCACCGGCUAACUACG